AGUUAUGUGCUGCGGCCCUGCGCCCCCGCUGUGGGCGUCACACUCAAUCCCCCACCACGUCACAAAGACCCGCGGGUCACACCCUGCCCCUCCCUCUCAGCCCCCCAGCCUUGCCGGGCCUUCCCGCCCAUCCUCGAGGCUCUCACGCCGCCCUCUCUCCCUGGGCCGGGACCCCACGAGGCUGGAGGGGCGGGGUCAAGAACCAGGCUUGUGAGAAAAUGCUUCCCAAUAUGCCUCCCAGGAGGCCCCAGGAGGUCCUGAAGGAUGCAUCUUCCCAGCUCCAGGUCUCCAUGCCCCAAGGGCAGACAAGGUGAGGGAGAGCGCUGCCUCGACCCCGACUGAGCUUUAUGGAGGCAAAGAGAGCCGGGGCUGCUGGCUCAGAUCACACAGCAAUGAAGGGUGGACCCCAGUCUCCCGACCCCCAGAAUCCCCAGGAGGAGGGACGGGUUCCAAUUCCUGCCCUGGAUGCUGGCAUCCCUGGAGAAGCUGAUGGGCCACAGCCAAGGUACUCAGUUUCCCAACUCCCUUGAGCCUAGGAGGUCAUCACAUAGCCCAGCACGGCUCAUGAAAGACAAGGAGUCUAUUCAGUGCUUUGCCUUACCCUCCACUUCCUGCCUUUACACACAAGGUGAGGAUGUGAUGCCUGGAGCUGAAGCAGCCACUUUAACAUCAUGAGGCAUCAACCAAUGCAGAUAAAAGCCCACAGCGACAAGUCAGCAGAGAGCCUGGCUUCCUUGGCCACCAAACCACUCCCGAGACCACCUCCACUCCUGAACUUCUUGUUGAAUAAAUAGUAAAUACGCUUAAGGAAUAAGCUACCAUGAGCCAGGUUUCUCUCAUGUGCCUCCUUCCUGACAUACCAAAGCCAACUUCUUGUCUAAGAGAGAAGCAGCCCCACUCUCCAGGCUCUGGGUUGCUGCUGUUUUAUACAGGCCACCUGACUGCUGCUUUUCCGGUCUGGGAUCUGCCCAUCUGGCUCCUCUGCUGGCUCUGCCUUCACCUUGCUGGGAUCCUGGCCUCCACCCUGGCUGACCCCCAGCCUCUGAUCUGAGCUGAAAACCCAGCUCUGUGUCCUGGCUCCUGCAGGCUUGCCUGACCUCGGCACGGCCUCUGGUACUGCUGGCUGUCUUCACAACUAACCCAGCUGGUGUCCCUUCCCCUCUCCAGGCCACUGCUUCUCAGGGACCUCUGAUUCCAGCCAUCAAAGUGCCCAGUGGGGCCGGGUGCGGUGGCUCACGCCUGUAAUCCCAGCACUUUGGGAGGCCAAGGCAGGAAGACCACUUGAGGUUAGGAGUUCGAGACCAGCCUGGCCAACAUGGUGAAACCUCGUCUCUACUAAAAAUACAAAAAUUAGCCAGGUGUGCCGGCAGGCACCUGUAGUCCCAGCUAAUCUGGAGGCUGAGGCAGAAGAAUCACUUGAACCUGGGAGGCAGAGGUUGCAGUGAGCUGAGAUCAUGACAUUGCACUCCAGCCUGAUGGACGAGUGUGACUGAGUCUCAAAAAUAAAUAAAUAAAUAAUAAAAAUAAAACAGAACAAAAUAAAAUCUCAUC